CACCGCGGUUAAACGAGAGGCCCUAGUUGAUAAUGCAACGGCGUAAAGGGUGGUUAGGGAGAGCGAUAGGAUAAAGCCGAAUGGCCCCUUGGCCGUCAUACGCAUCUAGGUGUCCGAAGCCCAAUAUACGAAAGUAGCUUUAAGGAAAGCCCACCUGACGCCACGAAAGCUGAGAAA
rnacentral:rRNA from 1 species